rnacentral:rRNA from 1 species
CUCGUACCUUUUGCAUCAUGAUUUAGCCAGUGAUCCCCAAGCAAAGAGCACUUUAGUUUGAUAACCCGAAACUAGUAUGAGCUACUCCAAGACAGCCUAAUAUAGGGCGAAUCCGUCUCUGUGGCAAAAGAGUGGAAAGAGCUUUGAGUAGAGGUGACAGACCUACCGAAUCUAGUUAUAGCUGGUUGCCUGGGAAUUGGAUAGGAGUUCAGCCUCCCGAAUUCUCCACUAACACAAAGUAACCCCAUCCCCAAGUACAACCAGAAUUCGCGAGAGUUAAUCAAAGGAGGUACAGCCCCUUUGAAAAAGAUACAACUUUCCCCAGUAGGGUCAAGAUCAAAUUCAACCCAAGGGUAAAUAAUCUCAGUAGGCCUAAGAGCAGCCACCCCAUCAGAAAGCGUUAAAGCUCAAAUUUAUUAACACCCCACAUAUACCGACUAUUUAGUCUAAACCCCCUAAUCUUACCAGGCCGCCCCAUGCAAACAUGGGAGUGACCAUGCUAAUAUGAGUAAUAAGAGGGCCCCGCCCCUCUCCUUGCACACGUGUAAACCGGUAUGGACCCCCCACCGAAAAUUAACGUCCCCAAACCAAGAGGGUACUGAACAUAAACCACCUAACCAGAAAACCGCCCAACCAUCUAUCGUUAACCCUACACAGGAGUGCCCACAAGGAAAGACUAAAAAAAAGAGAAGGAACUCGGCAAACACACCCCAAGCCUCGCCUGUUUACCAAAAACAUCGCCUCUUGUAAGAUAAAUAUAAGAGGCCCAGCCUGCCCAGUGACUUUAUGUUCAACGGCCGCGGUAUUCUGACCGUGCGAAGGUAGCGCAAUAACUUGUCCUUUAAAUGGGGACUAGUAUGAAUGGCAUCACGAGGGCUUAUCUGUCUCCUUUUUUAGGUCAAUGAAAUUGAUCUUCCCGUGCAAAAGCGGGAAUACGCACAUAAGACGAGAAGACCCUGUGGAGCUUUAGACACCAAGACAGAUCACGUUAAGAAUACCUCAAUAAGGGUUUAAACUAAAAGAAGCCUGCUCUGAUGUCUUUGGUUGGGGCGACCGCGGAGUAGAAAAUACCCUCCCCUCCGCGUGGACUGGGAGCACUAAACCUGAAACCUCCUACAACUGAGAGCUACAGCUCAAACCAGCAGAAAUUUCUGGCCAUCAUUGAUCCGGCCCAACGCCGAUCAACGAACCGAGUUACCCCAGGGAUAACAGCGCAAUCCCCUUUUAGAGCCCAUAUCGACAAGGGGGUUUACGACCUCGAUGUUGGAUCAGGACAUCCUAAUG